rnacentral:tRNA from 1 species
GCGCCUGUAGCUCAGUUGGAUUAGAGCACUUGUCUUCGGAACAAGGUGUCGGGGGUUCGAGUCCCUCCAGGCGCA